rnacentral:rRNA from 1 species
UACGGAGGGUGCAAGCGUUAUCCGGAUUCACUGGGUUUAAAGGGUGCGUAGGUGGGAAUGUAAGUCAGUGGUGAAAUCUCCGUGCUUAACAUGGAAACUGCCAUUGAUACUAUGUUUCUUGAAUUUUCUGGAGGUCAGCGGAAUAUGUCAUGUAGCGGUGAAAUGCUUAGAUAUGACAUAGAACACCGAUUGCGAAGGCAGCUUACUACACGAUCAUUGACGCUGAGGCACGAAAGCGUGGGGAGCAAACAGG